GGCUUGCUUCAGAUGUUGGUGGGAGCUGCCUCCUCAGUGUGCUGUGGCCGUGGCAAGGGGGAGGCCAAGGGGAGAGGGCAGAGAGCCCGAGAGGGGACGGCUGCCUUUGACGCAGCACUGGGAGAGGCAGACCCUGGGUCUGGUUCUCGGGGCCCCGGGGAGCAGGGCUCGUCGACUGCAUUCGUCUGCUGCCACUGUCAGGGCUGGGCCACCUCGGGAGGGACUGUCCUGGGAGGCCCCCUGAGCCAUGCCCUGACUGUGGGGGUGGCCACUGGAGGUUGGGCUGUCCUCUGGAGCGGGGGCCCCAGGGUUAGGACCCCUCUUACUAGCUGGUCCGGCAGGAAUGAAGGGCCCAGGGCAUACUCUGCCUUCUCCGUCUGGCCGGACUGCUGUCUCCAAGGAGGAGCCCCACAAAAUCAUGACUAUAGAAGAAAAAGUGGACGAUCUGUUGCUGGACACUGGUGCUGGUCUCUCGGUCCUUCUUUUCAGCCCUGCCCUUCCUUCCAGCCAUCACACCUCAGUGAGGGGAGUCACUGAUGAGGAGCCAAAAGGAACGGGACAGUACAUGGGGAGAGGAGACGCAUCUCUCAGACCAGGUCUCACCACCAACCCUGGUGCCCAUGAUGGGUUUUGCUCGUUAAGACAGUGCCCAGGGCUCCACGGACCGCGCCCAGGAGUGGGAAGCGCUGUGCGCCCUCAGAGACGCUCGUUACCGCUCUUCCUCUGCCCAGAACCGACUCCCAGCCCUGCGGCCUCUCUCUGUUAUUUCUCCCUGCCGUGUGAUAUCUAUCUGAAUUUAACUUUUCCUUUCCCCUCCACCAAAACAUCUAGGAUUCCAGCUCAGACGUCUCUAAGGAGUUUAUCUGCGUUUGCACAAAUAGCACAGAAAUUCUUAACCAACUACAAAUUAGCCACCAGGACCAACUCCGAGCCCCCUGGGGCUCUUCCUUCUGUGGGAGCUUGUGUUUACCCUGCAGUGCUUUCAGGCCCGUCCUCCUGACGUCUCUGGCCUCCCCAGGGGUCUUGUUCGUGUGUUCUUGUCACCUUGGUCCACAGGAACCAUCAGUCACGUCUGCGCUCCGCAGCCUCUGUGGGGAAUCAAAGGCCUCCGGCUGCGGGCUGCAGGCUGCAGGCGAGCGGCCGCCCGGCAUUGUUUUGCAUCCAGCCUGUAUGUUGGGAAUUAAUAAGGCAGACGGCACUGAUGGCCUCGAAACUGCCACUCUCCAGGCCUUCCUGGUGAAAGUCCUGUGGGCUCUGCUACCGACGCAGGCUGCGGGUCCCGGGGCAGGGAUGCCAGGAUGCACAGCGGAUGUCCCUUUGGAGUCGGGUCGGCAAGGUUAACAUAAAAGCGAAGUUUCAUUUUCUCCCCGUGCUUAUGCGUAAAAAAUCCCUAACUGUCCUUCAGCAGAAGGCUUCCUCGGAUGGGAGACGGGCUGUCCUCCUGCCCAGGGACUCCAGAGGGUGUCAGCGCUGAACGCACAGAGCUGCUCCUGUCACCAUGGUGACCGCUUCUCUACCCAGCCCCUGCCAGGGGCAGCAAGGGGCCCCUUACUCCCUGGCCUAUGGAGUAAGAUUGGAGAGCAUGCCGGGCAUGUUGGCACACGCCUGUAA
ensembl:lincRNA